rnacentral:lncRNA from 1 species
AUGCUUUCCUCAGCCUUUGGAGUUCUGAGGGAUCAGGCUUGCAGCAUCUCAGGAAGGCCAGAGGGUUUGUGGAGUUGGAUAUCCCGGCUCCUGCUGUGGGGAAGGAUGGAGAAAUCCUGGAGUCUCCAUCCCAGGGCGCUGUGGCACCCUCAGGGAUCUGCAGGGGGUGGGAAGGGAUCAAUCCAACCUUUACCCCUGCACAGACUUCCCCAGAUUCCUCCCCGUGCAUCCCUGGCAGCCUCAGGAAUGUUCCCGUUCCUUGGAGAGCCUGCCCAGUGCCCCAGCACCCUCAGGGGGGAGAAUUCCCUAAAAUCCACCCCAGCCUCCCGGGCCCAGCUCCAGCCAUUCCCUGGAUCCCGUCCCUGUCACAGAGCGCCGGGAUCGGAGCUGUCCCGUCCCGAGGGAGCCGCUCCAGGGGCGCACACGCCAACAUCUGGGAGCCAGGGGCUGCUCCAGCUCCCGGGAAGGCGCCCCGCGGCUCCAUGGAGCGGGAACAAUCCCGCUUUUUAUGGAAACACACGGCUGACAUCUGGGGGAACAGGAAACAGCGUUGUCCCAGCAACGGCGUGUCCCCGCUCCAUGGGAAUGCCGCGGGACCGCCGGGGCUCGGGAAUUCAAAGCCCACGGCGCCUGAUGGAUGGGCCGGGCUCCGUGGGGAGGAUGGGAUUAAUCAGCACCAUUUUCCCGUCAUUUUUCCUCAUCCCACACCUGCUUUUUCACAUUUUCCCCCCUGUUUUCUGGCUGUUCCCCAUUUCCUCUCCUCUGAUCCCUCGUGGGAUCUCGGGGCCUCACCCCCGUGCCAGGGGAGGAGAGGAGGGUGGGAAACCGUGGCUUUUCCUUGGGAAUGGGGCUGGAAUGCCGGUGGCAAAGGGAUUCUUUAGGCCAAACAUCCCGCGUUUUGCAGCCCAGCUUUGGGCGGGCACGUGGAAUCAUGGAACGCUUUGGGCUGGAAGGGACCUUGGGAUCCGCUCCUGCCACCUCUUCCACACCUCCCGCCAGCCCGGGCUGCUCCGGCCGGCCUGGGACACUCCCAGGGAUGCGGCAGCCGCGGCUUCCCUGGGAAAUCCAUUCCAGAGCCUCCCAACCCUCCCAGGGAAGGAUUUAUUCCCAAAAUCCCAUCCAAACCCCUCUGUCAGUCUGGCACCCCGGGAGCUCGAAGGGGUUGGAAAUUGGGAAGUGCAGGACCUGCCCCGUGUCCCGGCCACCCUCGCACGUUUGUGCUUCCCGGGGACUCUUUGGGAAUGGGAACGCUGCCGCUGGAUCCCAUCCCUCGCGGGUGGCUGCUCCAGCUCCUCGAAUUCCUUCCCAGAGCGCUUCCCUCUGUUCGGGCCGGAACAAUUCCCGAGUUCCCGGAGCUCAGCCGUGUCC